GUGGCUGUGGCUCAGUGGUAGAGCCCUUGCCUAGCAUGUGUGAGGCAUGGAGUUUGAUUCUCAGCACCACA
rnacentral:tRNA from 1 species